ensembl:miRNA microRNA 18a
GUACUGUCUUUGUGCUAAGGUGCAUCUAGUGCAGAUAGUGAAAUAGACUAGCACCUACUGCCCUAAGUGCUCCUUCUGGCAUAAGGGGCUGUAAUAUG